GCACAGGUCAAAUCAAAAUCAAUUUUAAGCUCGUUUAUAAUGUUUUUAUGGAGAGCAAAAAUUUGACCCUAACACAACAUUUCAGUGAAAACUUUCUGUUAUAUUUAAAAUAUGACAUCUGUCGGGUUUGAAAACAUAAAUAGAAUGGAAACAACGUAGGCGUUGAUAUUGUUAGUUGAAGUAUUUUUAGGAAAAAAAAAUUUGACAAGAGUCAAUCACUAGUCAUCAACAACGUUUUAAGCAUUGAUCCCGUCGAAGAUGAUCAGAGUUUAGAUGAUGAUAUCAAAAUGGUGAUGAAUAAAGCGCGUGAUGAUGCUAAACUCGUGAUAUAUCCUCGGAAAGCAAACAAAUUUGAUAGUAAAAGUAUUCAAACCCUGAUUUCUCCAAUUGAAACAAUAAUUCAACGUAAACAAAAGUGGAUGAAUACCAUUAUAAGACUUACGACUUUAGCGGCGAAAAUCAAAAGUUUAGAAGCAAAAGUCCAGAAGGCAAAUGAUACUACGACCCAAACUGACCGUAAUCUCACAUUACCACCAAACAUACCAAUUGAAAAUAUUCCAGAAGAAGAAACUCAAGUUGAAACAAAAAAUCAUCUCAUGUUGACAUGACACAAUUAUACGCAAAUUUGAUCACACUCUACAAUCAACGGAAACAACUAACUGACCAACUUCAACACGGUGAAACAAAUAUACCGCUUGAUGUAGCAAUAGAUGACACAUUAAGAAAUAUUCGAUCCACAGCUACAUAUGAGAUUAACAAGUUGAAAACGUUUGUCCAUCGCCGCACGAAAAAGAAAGGAAUGAAAACGUACAAGCGACAGGAACAAAAGAUACGCCGAGUUGAUGAUUGGAGAGGUCUGACGCCGAAAGCAGUUCCGGAGGAGUCAAAUUUACGCGACGCUUUGCCGAGAAUACGUCCGCUCAUCUAUUCAGCGCCAAAGUUUAAAGAGAAAAAUAUUCGAUAUGAAGAAACUCUGCUCAAUAUGUACAUAUCCAAGGCACAAUGUAAAGUUUCGUUCAUGGUGGAGCGUUUGAAAAGUUUGCAUUGAUGCUUUUACAUUUUUUCAAAUAAAAUGUGCGUGUUUAAAAGUU